UACGGAGGGGGCUAGCGUUACACGGAAUUACUGGGCGUAAAGCGUGCGUAGGUGGUUCGUUAAGUCUGUCGUGAAAGCCCCGGGCUCAACCUGGGAAUGGCGAUGGAUACUGGCGAGCUAGAGUGCGGUAGAGGAGAGUGGAAUUCCCGGUGUAGCAGUGAAAUGCGUAGAGAUCGGGAGGAACAUCAGUUGCGAAGGCGGCUCUCUGGACCAGCACUGACACUGAGGCACGAAAGCGUGGGGAGCAAACAGG
rnacentral:rRNA from 1 species